AUUGAACGCUGGCGGCAUGCUUUACACAUGCAAGUCGAACGGUAACAGGCCUUCGGGUGCUGACGAGUGGCGAACGGGUGAGUAAUGCAUCGGAACGUGCCCAAUCGUGGGGGAUAACGUAGCGAAAGUUACGCUAAUACCGCAUAAGCCCUGAGGGGGAAAGUGGGGGACCACAAGGCCUCACGCGAAUGGAGCGGCCGAUGUCAGAUUAGCUAGUUGGUGGGGUAAAGGCCCACCAAGGCGACGAUCUGUAGCGGGUCUGAGAGGAUGAUCCGCCACACUGGGACUGAGACACGGCCCAGACUCCUACGGGAGGCAGCAGUGGGGAAUUUUGGACAAUGGGCGCAAGCCUGAUCCAGCCAUGUUGCGUGCGGGACGAAGGCC
rnacentral:rRNA from 1 species